GAUGCAGAGAGGCUGAGCUGCAGAACCCAUUCAGCCUCGGCAGAAGAAAUAUUUCCAAAAUCUUCAUCAACUACACCUGUGCAAAGCCACAAAAGGGACAAAGGCUUCAACACAAGGAGGCACUAAAACACUGCAGUUCUUCACCAUCAGUCUAAAAGACGCUUAGUUUCUGAUUUUCCAGAAAGACAUACUGCAUAAGUUAACAUAAACAAAAGGAUUACAUGGAGAAGAGGACCUAUAAAGCAGAAUGUGUUCAUACUGUCUGUGUCAACAUUUACUCUGCCAAACUGAAGGGACACUUGGCUAUGAC